GCUCAAGUUGCUGCAGAUAAAUCUGGGAAGUGAAGAAAUACUAGAAACUUCCUUAAGUAGUUUAAGUAAACUCCUUUACUGAGAAGGUCUUAGAAACCCUUCCCUUUGCUGCGCUCCGAAAAUCGCAACCUUGCUGGGCUUCUGGUUGCCGAUCUAGUUUUUGCCCUCCCGCUUCUUCAUUAGGUCCUUGAGAGAGCUGUGAAACACAGAUCUAUCCUGUUCAGUGCUGCGGGCCCGCGCUCUGGAAAGUUUCUGCAUUUCUUUGAGCGGCUGCUUUCCCCACCGAGUUUCCCGGGGCCCGGGCACCCGCAGCCCUCCUCUCUCUGCAGAACGUGAGGGGCGUGAGCAGUCGGGCGGUGGGCUCGUCUCUCCCCGGCUGCUGCCCAUGCAGCCAUCUCUCAUUCUCCUCUCCCUAGUGAGCCCUUCUGGAAGAAAUUGGGCCCUAAGUGUGGUCUCAGCUCUCUCAAGUGAUGGGGAGCCUUGGAGAUGGUUUGAGAACCAAGUUCUGCACGCUAGUAUCCAUUCUCCCAACUGAUAAUGACGCUUCAGUUGCCCGUAAGGAAGACCCUCCUUCCCCCAUUGGAUACAACCUUACUUCGACUGUUACUCAAGGUGUCCUACCCUCCUCUGGCCAGUGGAAGACUGGCCCUGAGCUAACAUCCGUGCUCAUCUUCCUCUGUUCUAUAUGUGGGACGCCUGCCACAGCAUGGCUUGACAAGUGGUGUGUAGGUCCGCACCUGGGAUCCAAACCGGUCGCUCUUCCCAGUCUUCAUGCACCUGCAGGGCUGUCAACACUGGGAGGACUGGAAGAAAUUUGUAAAGAGUCUGGGAGUCUUCAGAGAGGAAAAGAGUGCAGACCUGGACUCCUCCUUUUCCAAUGUCUUUAUUAUUAGAAGGUUUUCUAUGCAUUGAGCCGGUUCUGAUUAAGAAAGGAUCUAAUAAGAAGGAACAUUGAAGACCUUAAGCUGUUAGCCCUGCUGUGGCCGGCAUUACCCGAUGGGACAGGCUAUCCGGUCAUGGGCACGACUGGAGGCAGAAGGCCCUCCUGACCCGGCCACUGUGCUCUGUAAACUAAAAAGCUGUUGGCGCGGAUGCCAUGUCUUACCUCUGAGGAGCAGGCUGCUUCUCUCUUGACGAAUCGCUGUGGCCACUAUUGGAAUCUGCAACAGCAAAGGCCAGCGCACACCAGGCGAAAAGGUCACCCUGGCCUGUGGGGGAUCCGUUUUCAUCAGUAAACGGUGCCAGGAGCAGAACACCAGCAGCCUUCAGCUUGUAUUCUCUCAGACUCUCUGGUUUUCUCCCUCUGAGGUGGAUCAAGAGGCCCCCAGAGUUUUUGAACAAUUUGAUAGACAAGAGAGACCUUGGACUCCCUGCUAGUCUGGCAAUUGAGAAGUGGUUUUAAUUUGGAAAAAAUAACAGGUGGGACCUCAUUUUUACCCAAAACUAUUGAAGUAGAUCCUACUAUUACCACAUG
rnacentral:lncRNA from 1 species